rnacentral:tRNA from 1 species
CAAUUGGUGGUCCAGUGGUUAGAGCGUUUGCUUGCCAUGCAAGAAUUCUCGGGUUCAAGCCCCGAUAAAUGU